rnacentral:lncRNA from 1 species
UGGCCAUGGUAAGCCGCCCUUGCUUCCCCUUCACCUUCCACCAUGAUUGCAAGUUGCCUGAGGCCCCCCCAGAGGCAGAAGCCUGUACAGCCUGCAGAACUGCAAAUGUAGCAUUUCCCUACCACGGCACCAGGAGGCUCUAAAGGGAUGAAUAUGGCUGUACUUGGAAGGCCAAGGAAAUCCUAGGAGCAUGGAAUGAGGUGGAACAAUCUAAUUCUGCUCUCACCUGACUACAGCGUAAGCCACCUGAGUAGAGCUCUACACCUGACUACAGCAAAAGAAAGACGCCAAUAGGAAAUGACAGCAGAAAAAAGUCUUAUUUCAACUCAACUUUAUUUUCCCUUCUCCUUUAUGGUAACUGAAGGUGAAUGAGAUAAUUACACACAGUUUUCC